rnacentral:rRNA from 1 species
AUUGAACGCUGGCGGCAUGCUUUACACAUGCAAGUCGAACGGCAGCGCGGGCUUCGGCCUGGCGGCGAGUGGCGAACGGGUGAGUAAUGCAUCGGAACGUGCCCAGUAGUGGGGGAUAGCCCGGCGAAAGCCGGAUUAAUACCGCAUACGACCUGAGGGUGAAAGCGGGGGACCGAAAGGCCUCGCGCUAUUGGAGCGGCCGAUGUCGGAUUAGCUAGUUGGUGGGGUAAAGGCUUACCAAGGCGACGAUCCGUAGCUGGUCUGAGAGGACGACCAGCCACACUGGGACUGAGACACGGCCCAGACCCCUACGGGAGGCAGCAGUGGGGAAUUUUGGACAAUGGGGGCAACCCUGAUCCAGCCAUGCCGCGUGCGGGAAGAAGGCCUUCGGGUUGUAAACCGCUUUUGUUCGGGAAGAAAUCCUCUGGGCUAAUACCCCGGGGGGAUGACGGUACCGGAAGAAUAAGCACCGGCUAACUACGUG